GACGAACGCUGGCGGCGUGCCUAAUACAUGCAAGUUGAGCGAUGAAGAUUGGUGCUUGCACCAAUUUGAAGAGCAGCGAACGGGUGAGUAACGCGUGGGGAAUCUGCCUUUGAGCGGGGGACAACAUUUGGAAACGAAUGCUAAUACCGCAUAACAACUUUAAACAUAAGUUUUAAGUUUGAAAGAUGCAAUUGCAUCACUCAAAGAUGAUCCCGCGUUGUAUUAGCUAGUUGGUGAGGUAAAGGCUCACCAAGGCGAUGAUACAUAGCCGACCUGAGAGGGUGAUCGGCCACAUUGGGACUGAGACACGGCCCAAACCCCUACGGGAGGCAGCAGUAGGGAAGCUUCGGCAAUGGACGAAAGUCUGACCGAGCAACGCCGCGUGAGUGAAGAAGGUUUUCGGAUCGUAAAACUCUGUUGGUAGAGAAGAACGUUGGUGAGAGUGGAAAGCUCAUCAAGUGACGGUAACUACCCAGAAAGGGACGGCUAACUACGUG
rnacentral:rRNA from 1 species